rnacentral:rRNA from 1 species
AUUGAACGCUGGCGGCAUGCCUUACACAUGCAAGUCGAACGGUAACAGGUCUUCGGAUGCUGACGAGUGGCGAACGGGUGAGUAAUACAUCGGAACGUGCCUAGUAGUGGGGGAUAACUACUCGAAAGAGUGGCUAAUACCGCAUGAGAUCUACGGAUGAAAGCAGGGGAUCGCAAGACCUUGUGCCACUAGAGAGGCCGAUGGCAGAUUAGGUAGUUGGUGGGAUAAAAGCUUACCAAGCCGACGAUCUGUAGCUGGUCUGAGAGGACGAUCAGCCACACUGGGACUGAGACACGGCCCAGACUCCUACGGGAGGCAGCAGUGGGGAAUUUUGGACAAUGGGCGAAAGCCUGAUCCAGCAAUGCCGCGUGCAGGAUGAAGGCCUCCGGGUUGUAAACUGCUUUUGUACGGAACGAAAAGCCCCGGGUUAAUACCCUGGGGUCAUGACGGUACCGUAAGAAUAAGCACCGGCUAACUACGUGCCAGCAGCCGCGGUAA